rnacentral:rRNA from 1 species
GGCGGACGGGUGAGUAACGCGUGGGGAACCUGCCCCGUACCGGGGGAUAACACCUGGAAACAGGUGCUAAUACCGCAUAACAGAAGGGGACGCAUGUUCCUUUCUUGAAAACUCCGGUGGUACGGGAUGGACCCGCGUCUGAUUAGCUGGUUGGCGGGGUAACGGCCCACCAAGGCGACGAUCAGUAGCCGGCCUGAGAGGGCGGACGGCCACAUUGGGACUGAGACACGGCCCAAACUCCUACGGGAGGCAGCAGUGGGGAAUAUUGCACAAUGGGGGAAACCCUGAUGCAGCGACGCCGCGUGAGUGAAGAAGUAAUUCGUUAUGUAAAGCUCUAUCAGCAGGGAAGAAAAUGACGGUACCUGAGUAAGAAGCCCCGGCUAACUACGUGCCAGCAGCCGCGGUAAUACGUAGGGGGCAAGCGUUAUCCGGAUUUACUGGGUGUAAAGGGAGCGUAGACGGCGCUGCAAGUCCGGAGUGAAAGCCCAUGGCUUAACCAUGGUACUGCUCUGGAAACUGUGGAGCUUGAGUGCGGGAGGGGCAGGCGGAAUUCCUAGUG